rnacentral:lncRNA from 1 species
UGCCUCCCCUUUCUCGAAUGGUGAAUUCUGAGGAAGCAGCUGGUGUGUUGAGCCACUUCUGAGGACUGAAAAUGCCAGUAGUUGAAAGUGAGGCAAAGGCAAAAACCAGAGCCUGCUUUGAGGAGAUCUUCAGACAUCAUGCUGGCCUAGCAGACACAAAGAAAUCAAAGAAAAAGAAGUUUCACUCUGAAGAGAAUAUUGUGCUUGACACAUUUAGAAGUAAUAUUGAUCUAGCUAAGGAAAGUGUGAAUGAUGAAGCAAUUCUAAACAACACAUACAAUCCUGAAGAAGAGAGUCCACGAUUUACAAAAAAUAAACUGAGAGAGAAAGCUUCAAUUGCAAAGAAAUUAAACAAUGAUAUUGUUAGUGGAGAGGAGAACAAGCAACCAAAGUCUAACAAGAAGAAAAAGAAAUCACUGUUACAAGAACAAUUUAAUGAGGAGGAAAAUUUACAUGAAGCUAAAGUGGAGAGUUUUGAGAAAAAGAUUAAUGAUUUUCCAAAGAAGAAAACAAAAAGUAAAUCGCAAACAGAUGUACCUCAUCAAGGAGGUGAUGGAAAGAUUAGAAAUUUCUGGACUGAAGCGAGAAAUGUAACUGAAUUAGAAGAGGAAGAGGAGCUAAUUCGAGCCUAUCAGCUGCAUGUGGCUGAAGAUGAGGCAAAUGAAAUUAAAAAGAAAAUAAAAAUGAAACUUAAAGAACAGAUGUCUGAAUUUACCUCUACUGUUCAAAGCCAUGAAGUUGUAUUGAACAAUGAAGUAGGCAAAAA